rnacentral:rRNA from 1 species
UACGAGAGGCCCAAACGUUAUUCGGAUUUACUGGGCUUAAAGAGUUCGUAGGCGGUUCGGUAAGUGGGGUGUGAAAGCCCUCGGCUCAACCGAGGAAUUGCGCUCCAAACUGCCGGACUCGAGGGAGAUAGAGGUGAGCGGAACUGAUGGUGGAGCGGUGAAAUGCGUUGAUAUCAUCAGGAACACCAGAGGCGAAGGCGGCUCACUGGGUCUUUUCUGACGCUGAGGAACGAAAGCUAGGGGAGCAAACGGG